CUACGGGUUGCUGCAGUGAGGAAUAUUGCACAAUGGGGGAAACCCUGAUGCAGCAACGCCGCGUGGAGGAUGACGCAUUUCGGUGUGUAAACUCCUUUUAUAUGUCAAGAAAAUGACGGUAGCAUAUGAAUAAGCACCGGCUAACUCCGUGCCGGCAGCCGCGGUAAUACGGAGGGUGCAAGCGUUACUCGGAAUCACUGGGCGUAAAGGACGCGUAGGCGGGUUGGAAAGUCAGGUGUGAAAUCCUACAGCUUAACUGUAGAACUGCACUUGAAACUUCUAAUCUAGAGUAUGGGAGGGGGAGAUGGAAUUAGUGGUGUAGGGGUAAGAUCCGUAGAUAUCACUAGGAAUACCUAAAGCGAAGGCGAUCUCCUGGAACAUUACUGACGCUAAGGCGUGAAAGCGUGGGGAGCAAACAGGAUUAGAUACCCCAGUAGUC
rnacentral:rRNA from 1 species